rnacentral:rRNA from 1 species
AGUGAACGCUGGCGGUAGACCUAACACAUGCAAGUCGAACGGCAGCACAGUAAGAGCUUGCUCUUACGGGUGGCGAGUGGCGGACGGGUGAGGAAUACAUCGGAAUCUACUUUUUCGUGGGGGAUAACGUAGGGAAACUUACGCUAAUACCGCAUACGACCUACGGGUGAAAGCAGGGGAUCUUCGGACCUUGCGCGAUUGAAUGAGCCGAUGUCGGAUUAGCUAGUUGGCGGGGUAAAGGCCCACCAAGGCGACGAUCCGUAGCUGGUCUGAGAGGACGAUCAGCCACACUGGAACUGAGACACGGUCCAGACUCCUACGGGAGGCAGCAGUGGGGAAUAUUGGACAAUGGGCGCAAGCCUGAUCCAGCCAUACCGCGUGGGUGAAGAAGGCCUUCGGGUUGUAAAGCCCUUUUGUUGGGAAAGAAAAGCAGCAGGUUAAUACCCCGCUGUUCUGACGGUACCCAAAGAAUAAGCACCGGCUAACUUCGUG